UAGUUUUUAAAAACGUAAUGUUUUGAAAACGCGGAAUGUUUGAAAAACAAAAACGAUUCGGUUGUUUAAGUAUCGGUACUUGUUUAAAGUAUCGUCAGGUUAUCAAAACAUUUACAAAAUAUUUUUUUUGCUUGAAUAAUGAGAGUAUAUAUAUAUAGGUUAUGUAUAUAUAAUGUGUAGAAAAUUAAAAAUUUGAAUGCUGACAGUGAAUUAGAUUUGAAUGCUGAAAGGAUUGAAAAUAAACAACUGGGAAGAUUUAUAUGAGACUCAAAGUAAUUGAAAUCCUAUAUAUAUCCUAUAAAAUAUGGUAGCUCAAGCCAAGUUUUGAAAUACGGUUCGAAAAUCGUUUUUCUGCAUCGCCCUGGUCGCCUCAUAUAGUCGUUAUACUAAUAUAGAGAAAUUUUAAUAGUAAAAAUUUUAAUAUUAUAUUGUAAUUAGUAUUUAUUUUAACACAGAUUGCUCCAUAAAA
rnacentral:lncRNA from 1 species